rnacentral:tRNA from 1 species
GCCCUCGGUGGCUCAGAUGGAUAGAGCGUCUGCCAUGUAAGCAGGAGAUCCCAGGUUCAAGUCCUGGCCAAGGCA